AACGAACGUUAGCGGCGCGCUUAACACAUGCAAGUCGAACGAGAAAGGGCUUCGGCCCCGGUACAGUGGCGCACGGGUGAGUAACACGUGGGUAAUCUACCCUCGAGCGGGGGAUAACGUUCCGAAAGGAGCGCUAAUACCGCAUAAGACCACGCUCUCGAAAGGGAGCGAGGUAAAAGUAGGCCUCUGAAUUCACGCUUACACUCGAGGAUGAGCCCGCGGCCCAUCAUGGUAGUUGGUAGGGUAAUGGCCUACCAAGCCGAAGACGGGUAGCUGGUCUUAGAGGAUGAUCAGCCACACUGGAACUGAGACACGGUCCAGACUCCUACGGGAGGCAGCAGUGGGGAAUCUUGCGCAAUGGGCGAAAGCCUGACGCAGCGACGCCGCGUGGGUGAUGAAGGCCUC
rnacentral:rRNA from 1 species